AUUUGGUGUUCUGUAGGCUUCUUGUAUUUUCAUUGGCAUGUCUUUAUUUAGAUUGGGAAGGUUUUCUUCUAUGAUUUUGUUGAAUAUGUUUUCUGCGCCUUUGAGUUGGAUUUUGUCACCUUCUUCUAUACCUAUUAUUCAUAUGUUUGGUCUUUUCACGGUGUCCCAUAUUUCCUGGAUAUUUUGUGUUAGGGAUUUGUUGGACUUAAGAUUUUCUUUGGUUGAUGAGUCUAUUUCUGCUAGUGUGUCUUCAACUCCUGAGAUUCUCUCUUCCAUCUCUUGUAGUCUGUUGGUUAUGCUUACAUCUGUAGUUCCUGAUCAUUUACUCAGCUUUUCUAUUUCCAGCAUUCCCUCAGAUUGUGCUUUCUUUAUUGUCUCUAUUUCAGUUUUUAGGUCUUGAACUGUUUCCUUGAGAGAUUUGUUGAUAUCUUGUAUUUUUUGGUUUUUUUUUUUCUUCCAUUUCUUUAAGGGAUUUUCUCAUGUCCUCUUUGAGGUCCUCUAUCAUUUUCAUGAAGAUGUUUUUAAGGUCAUUCUCUUCUGCAUUGUGAUGUUCAGGCCUUGCUGGUGUAUGGUUCCUAGUCUCCGGUGGUGUCAUAUUGGGUUUUCUGUUGUUGAGUGUGUUUUUACAUUGUCCUCUUCUCAUCCUUUCUUCUGGUGGGUGUUGCAGGAGUCUUUUCCUCUCCUCGUGGGUAUGGGACCAAGGUUCCCUUCUGGUAGAUACAAACAGAUCCAAUACUCUGAUGUCUGUCCUCUUCUCGUGGAUGGAGGUGGCACUGUUACUGGGGCCUCGGCAGUGUCCUGGUGUGUUGGGUCGCGCUGUGGAGGUGAGCAGAUCCGGUGAGCAGAUCUCAACCUGCUCACCUCCCAACCUGCUCUCUGUCCACGAAACUGUGACCUCGCCCCUUUACAUGGCAGGUAGAACAUGCUGGCACACAAGUGUGUGGGCUUAGGGCUACCAUGAGCAUACACAGGCUACAGAUGCCUGUCUCUACCUCAGGGACAGGUGAGUAAGGGUGUUCACUGCUGCCAGGGGGUGCUGUACCCCAGGCCACUCCCUAUAGGCUCUGCUGUAAGGAAGGGGGUAAGAAUCCAGGGCAUACUCUGAUUGGCCAGGAGAGGACUGGGUAAGAAUCCAGGAUGUACUCUGAUUGGCCAGUAGGUGAGUGGGUAAGAAUGCAGGACAUACUCUGAUUGGCUGGGAGGGGAUAAGAAUGCAGGGCAUACUCUGAUUGGCUAGGAGGAGAGUAAGAAUGCAGGGCAUACUCUGGCUAGGAGGGGAGUAAGAAUGCAGGGCAUACUCUGAUUGGCUAGGAGGAGAGUAAGAACGUAGGGCAUACUCUGAUUGGCUGGGAGGGGAGUAAGAAUGCAAGACAUACUCUGAUUGGCUGGGAGGGGAGUAAGAAUGCAAGACAUACUCUGAUUGGCUAGGAGGGGAGUAAGAAUGCAGGGCAUACUCUGAUUGGCUAGGAGGAGAGUAAGAACGUAGGGCAUACUCUGAUUGGCUGGGAGGGGAGUAAGAAUGCAAGACAUACUCUGAUUGGCUGGGAGGGGAGUAAGAAUGCAGGACAUACUCUGAUUGGCUGGGAGGGGAGUAAGAAUGCAGGGCAUACUCUGAUUGCCAGAACCAGGUUCCUCUGUGAUGAGCCUUAGGAACCAGGAGGGAGGAGAAAGAAGAAAGUGGGCUCUAUUUGCACUCCCCUUUCCAGACUGUUGAGAUCGCGACUUUUCUGACCCUCAUAGUAGUGAAAUGACAUUGGCAGAAGCUUGCUCUGUGACUUCAGGGAUGCUUUCCUCAAAAUCAAGACCUCCAACUGGGCCACGUAAGACAAAACCCUUUGAAAGGGAAAGGAGAGGAACCCACAGGGACAAUGAAAUUCAGGAGAAGAAAUUUGGGGUUUGUGUGUACAUGCAUGCAUCUGUGUGUGGGUGCAUUGGAUGAAUCAGUGCCUCAUUCAUGACACGGGCUCAGCCACUCUGUUUCAAAAAACCUUUUUAAAAAAGAAGCAAUAAACUAACAAAUGCAAGAUGAAUAAAUAGACGUCUGCCCUGU
rnacentral:lncRNA from 1 species